AGAGUUUGAUCAUGGCUCAGGACGAACGCUGGCGGCGGGCCUUAUGCAUGCAAGUCGAACGCACUCGACCUUCGGGUCAUAUGAGUGAGUGGCGAACGGGUGAGUAACACGUGAGAAACCUGCCCCGAAGACUGGAAUAACCCGGGGAAACUCGGGCUAAUACCGGAUACCCCCAACUAAUCGCAUGGUUAGUUGAGGAAAUGCUCCGGCGCUUCGGGAGGGUCUCGCGGCCUAUCAGCUAGUUGGUGAGGUAACGGCUCACCAAGGCAACGACGGGUAGCUGGUCUGAGAGGACGAUCAGCCACACUGGGACUGAGACACGGCCCAGACUCCUACGGGAGGCAGCAGCAGGGAAUCUUGCGCAAUGGGCGAAAGCCUGACGCAGCCACGCCGCGUGAGGGAUGAAGGCUCUAGGGUCGUAAACCUCUUUCAGCAGGGAAGAAAAUGACGGUACCUGCAGAAGAAGCUCCGGCCAACUACGUGCCAGCAGCCGCGGUAACACGUAGGGAGCGAGCGUUGUCCGGAUUUAUUGGGCGUAAAGAGCUCGUAGGCUGUUCAGUAAGUCAGGUGUGAAAACUCGAGGCUCAACCUCGAGACGCCACCUGAAACUGCUGUGACUAGAGUCCGGUAGGGGAGUGUGGA
rnacentral:rRNA from 1 species